GAUGAACGCUAGCUACAGGCUUAACACAUGCAAGUCGAGGGGCAGCAUGGUCUUAGCUUGCUAAGACUGAUGGCGACCGGCGCACGGGUGAGUAACACGUAUCCAACCUGCCGUCUACUCUUGGACAGCCUUCUGAAAGGAAGAUUAAUACAAGAUGGCAUCAUGAGUCCGCAUGUUCACAUGAUUAAAGGUAUUCCGGUAGACGAUGGGGAUGCGUUCCAUUAGAUAGUAGGCGGGGUAACGGCCCACCUAGUCUUCGAUGGAUAGGGGUUCUGAGAGGAAGGUCCCCCCACAUUGGAACUGAGACACGGUCCAAACUCCUACGGGAGGCAGCAGUGAGGAAUAUUGGUCAAUGGACGAGAGUCUGAACCAGCCAAGUAGCGUGAAGGAUGACUGCCCUAUGGGUUGUAAACUUCUUUUAUACGGGAAUAAAGUGAGGCACGUGUGCCUUUUUGUAUGUACCGUAUGAAUAAGGAUCGGCUAACUCCGUG
rnacentral:rRNA from 1 species